rnacentral:rRNA from 1 species
UACAGAGGGUGCAAGCGUUAAUCGGAAUUACUGGGCGUAAAGCGUGCGUAGACGGUUAUGUAAGUUAGGUGUGAAAGCUCCGGGCUCAACCUGGGAAUUGCGCUUGAGACUGGAUAGCUUGGAGUGCGGCAGAGGGGACUGGAAUUCCCGGUGUAGCAGUGAAAUGCGUAGAUAUCGUAAGGAAGACCAGUGGCGAAGGCGGGUCUCUGGACAGUUCCUGACGCUGAGGCACGAAGGCCAGGGGAGCAAACGGG